rnacentral:rRNA from 1 species
GACGAACGCUGGCGGCGUGCUUAACACAUGCAAGUCGAACGAUGAAGCCCAGCUUGCUGGGUGGAAGAGUGGCGAACGGGUGAGUAACACGUGAGUAACCUGCCCCUGACUCUGGGAUAAGCGCUAGAAAUGGCGUCUAAUACUGGAUAUGACCUAUCACCGCAUGGUGUGUAGGUGGAAAGAUUUAUCGGUUGGGGAUGGACUCGCGGCCUAUCAGCUUGUUGGUGAGGUAAUGGCUCACCAAGGCGACGACGGGUAGCCGGCCUGAGAGGGUGACCGGCCACACUGGGACUGAGACACGGCCCAGAGUCCUACGGGAGGCAGCAGUGGGGAAUAUUGCACAAUGGGCGCAAGCCUGAUGCAGCAACGCCGCGUGAGGGAUGACGGCCUUCGGGUUGUAAACCUCUUUUAGUAGGGAAGAAGCGCAAGUGACGGUACCUGCAGAAAAAGCACCGGCUAACUACGUGCCAGCCGCCGCGGUAA